AUGUUUCGAGGAGGGACGCUGAUGCGUUUGGCCUCUCGGCACCUGGGUUCCCAUGGCUUCAGCACCGAGAUAUUUGUGAGCAGGUUAUCAUUUUACACAACGGAGGAAGAAUUUAAAAAGGUCUUCUCACCAUUUGGCGCCAUUGAGGAAGUUCGGUUAGUGAGAGACAACCAAACUGGAAGGCUGAAGGGAUUUGGUUUUGUAAGAUAUUCAUCACAAGAGGAGGCACAGAAAGCUAUCAAGGCAAUGGAUGGAAGGAUUCUACGCGGCAGACUGAUUUUUGCAGAGAUGGCAAAGGAACACGGCACCGGAUAG
rnacentral:rRNA from 1 species